UCAUCCUCAGCAACAGAGCCAAUUUUGUCUUUAUAGGGCAACCACUUUCCUAAGCAUAAAGCUGUAUGAACCUAUGGUUCCUGACUCAGAGUUAUUUUCUAUGUGUCUCCCAAGUCCAAGUUCUUUUUUUUUUUUUUUUAACCAUUACACACAACUAUUAGGAAGAAAUGAAAAGAGAACUAUGCUUGCUGAGAAAAUGGAAACAGUUUAAUACUGAGACUACAUACUUGUAAUUCUGUCCAUGGAAGUAGGCCUCAGUUUCUGUGUUCAGAUGCGUCUCCGUGCUUCUCUUCACCAGGCAGCAGGAUACAGAGUGCCACAGAAGUUUGCUUCUAUCUGCUCUGGUUCUUUACGAUUUUGUCUUAAAGUUGAACUCUCAAGAUGGCAUCACUUCCUUUAUGUUGUAAGUUCCUGUUGGGAAUGGAAAAAAGUGUCUCAUUGUGUCCCCUGUGUCUAGACAACAAUAAUCUGGACCAUCAGCUCCAGGAGCUAUGAAGUCUUAUGUCAUAGCUGCAUGCCUUCGUCUUUUCUGAGGUGCACUGCGAAUCAUCUUCAACCGUUAAUGAUCUCAGCACCCAGGCAUGUGAAUUGUGAUUCCUGAAAAAUAAAAUCAGACAGAAUCAUAA
rnacentral:lncRNA from 1 species